GAUGAAGAACGUAGCGAAAUGCGAUAAGUAAUGUGAAUUGCAGAAUUCAGUGAAUCAUCGAAUCUUUGAACGCACAUUGCGCCCCCUGGUAUUCCGGGGGGCAUGCCUGUCCGAGCGUCAUUGCUGCCCUCAAGCACGGCUUGUGUGUUGGGCCCCGUCCUCCGAUCCCGGGGGACGGGCCCGAAAGGCAGCGGCGGCACCGCGUCCGGUCCUCGAGCGUAUGGGGCUUUGUCACCCGCUCUGUAGGCCCGGCCGGCGCUUGCCGAUCAACCCAAAUUUUUAUCCAGGUUGACCUCGGAUCAGGUAGGGAUACCCGCUGAACUUAAGCAUAUCAAUAAGCGGAGGA
rnacentral:misc_RNA from 1 species